AUUGAACGCUGGCGGCAGGCUUAACACAUGCAAGUCGAGCGGGGAAAGGUAGCUUGCUACCUGACCUAGCGGCGGACGGGUGAGUAAUGCUUAGGAAUCUGCCUAUUAGUGGGGGACAACAUUCCGAAAGGAAUGCUAAUACCGCAUACGCCCUACGGGGGAAAGCAGGGGAUCUUCGGACCUUGCGCUAAUAGAUGAGCCUAAGUCAGAUUAGCUAGGUGGUGGGGUAAAGGCCUACCAAGGCGACGAUCUGUAGCGGGUCUGAGAGGAUGAUCCGCCACACUCGGACUGGGACACGGCCCAGACUCCUACGGGAGGCAGCAGUGGGGAAUAUUGGACAAUGGGCGAAAGCCUGAUCCAGCCAUGCCGCGUGUGUGAAGAAGGCCUUUUGGUUGUAAAGCACUUUAAGCGAGGAGGAGGCUACCGAGAUUAAUACUCUUGGAUAGUGGACGUUACUCGCAGAAUAAGCACCGGCUAACUCUGUGCCAGCCGCCGCGGUAAUAC
rnacentral:rRNA from 1 species